AAUUAAUUAACUUAUAAAAAAGUUUAUAUUUUGAAAAUAUAGUAAAGAAUUAUUUAUUCUAUUAAUUU
rnacentral:tRNA from 1 species